rnacentral:rRNA from 1 species
UGGGGAAUAUUGCACAAUGGGCGAAAGCCUGAUGCAGCAACGCCGCGUGAGUGAUGAAGGCCUUCGGGUUGUAAAGCUCUGUCUUUUGGGACGAUAAUGACGGUACCAAAGGAGGAAGCCACGGCUAACUACGUGCCAGCAGCCGCGGUAAUACGUAGGUGGCAAGCGUUGUCCGGAUUUACUGGGCGUAAAGGAUGCGUAGGCGGAUUUUUAAGUGAGAUGUGAAAUACCCGGGCUUAACUUGGGUGCUGCAUUUCAAACUGAGAAUCUAGAGUGCGGGAGAGGAGAAUGGAAUUCCUAGUGUAGCGGUGAAAUGCGUAGAGAUUAGGAAGAACACCAGUGGCGAAGGCGAUUCUCUGGACCGUAACUGACGCUGAGGCAUGAAAGCGUGGGUAGCAAACAGGAUUAGAUACCCUGGUAGUCCACGCCGUAAACGAUGAGUACUAGGUGUAGGAGGUAUCGACCCCUUCUGUGCCGCAGUUAACACAAUAAGUACUCCGCCUGGGAAGUACGAUCGCAAGAUUAAAACUUGAAAGGAAUUGACGGGGGUCAUAGCUG